rnacentral:tRNA from 1 species
GCCACCUUAGCUCAGUUGGUAGAGCGCCCGCCUUGUAAGCGGAUUGUCGCCGGUUCGAUCCCGGCAGGUGGCUCCA